UUUGCGCAACUCAGCAUAUGCGCUCUUAGGGCCUUCCCUUGGAUAAUUUCCCCAGUAUUUAAUAUAUCGGAACCAUUUAAUUUCCUCAGUAUUUUGCUCAACUACGUCACUCUCGGCAAAAGGCCUGAAACCGUAGCGCCCGCCAGAAGCUGUCCACCGCCAUACCACCUCGGCGACCUUGUCUUCAUCAAAUUCAUCAUCAAUCAAACUCACAACACCGAAAAAUGGUAAAUACAGUAAAGAAUUUGCUGCUGCGCUUGUGAUGAAUAAUAGACUGGCUGAUAACUGAAGAAGAAGAAAUGGGGCAUAGUUCGAAGAAAAAGAAGAAGCGCGGAGGCGCCCGAAGGGCUCCAUCAAAGGAUCACAAUUCUCUUGCUGCUGAUAAUUCCGAGCUUAUUGGUGAAGAAAUCACCGCAUUGUGUGCUAUAUUUCAAGAUGAGUGUGAAGUUGUUUCCGGAUCACUACCACAAAUUCAGAUUAAGCUCAGGCCAUACUCAAAGGAUACAGGAUAUGAUGAAUCAGAUAUUUCUGCUCUUCUUUCUGUAAGGUUUUUAUCUGGCUACCCCAACAAAUGCCCAAAGUUGCGUAUAAUUCCUGAGAAAGGAUUAUCAGUGGUAGAUGCGGACAAUCUUCUGUCCUUGCUUCAUGAUCAAGCAAAUUCUAAUGCUCGUGAAGGGCGAGUAAUGAUUUACAAUUUGGUGGAGGCUGCUCAAGAAUUUUUGUCUGAAGUUGUUCCUCAAGCAGAAUCACGUGAAUCUGCUAUAUCCCAAGCCACGGACAGGAGUACCUUGCUAUCUCGCAAGGAUUUGGCAGUUUCCAGAAUCAUGAUGUACUCUUGUAAAGGACCUUUUGUAUAUGGUUAUAUAGAUCUUUUUAGUGGUUGUGGGGAAUCAUGGCAUUGGAGCCUGGGAAUGGAACAAAACACUGGUCUAAAAACUAAAGUAUCUUCUAAUACCUUCGAGCAUUCCAAAGUUGGACAUCAGAAUGCAGAUAACAAAAUUGGGAAGAAGUCAGUGGAACUUCAGGGUGCUAAGCAAGAAUUUGCGCAAAACCCUGCAUUGAAACUAGUCACUGUUAAAGAGGAGAGUGAGGAUGAGAUCAAGAGUACUGAUUCAAGUACAACUCUAUCUUGUGGAACAGUCAAAAGUGGUAGUGUUGGUAACAUAAAGGAUAUUUUUGUGGAGGAGAAUCUAGCAGAAACAACUGAUGUAGAUCGAUUAAUAGAACCUUCAGAAUCAGUGUCUUCAAAAUCUGUUAUCAAUCACCAAUUAUCUCAGACUAUGAGAACAGAUUUAAUUAUGGUUCACCUACUUCGCCUUGUUUGCGCACCCAAAGGGCCUCUAGGUGAUGCUUUGCUGCAAAUCACAUCAGAGCUGUACAACCUAGGGAUCGUAUCUGAGCAUGUGCGUGAUCUGACAAUUGAACCAUCUCCAGUUUUUGAGAAGGCUUUUAAUCAUGUUUUCGCUCAGCAUAGGGUCUCAUCAAAGAUCUCUCAGUUUUGGAGAACUGCUUCUGAUUUUGAAGGACAGAAUUCUUCAUCCAUGUCAAGUUCCCGUUAUCUAAGUGAUUUUGAGGAACUCCAGCCCCUUGGUCAUGGAGGAUUUGGUCAUGUUGUGCUGUGUAAAAAUAAGAUAGAUGGCAGGCAAUAUGCUGUCAAGAAAAUACGCUUGAAGGACAAGAGCCUGCCUAUAAAUGAUCGCAUAUUGAGGGAAGUUGCUACUCUGUCACGGUUGCAGCAUCAACAUGUUGUGCGUUACUACCAGGCAUGGUUUGAAACAGGAAUUGCUGGUUCUUUUGGUGAUGCAACCCAGGGCUCAAAAGCCACCAUGAGCUCCACUUUCAGCUACAUGGAUGGAAGCUCAUCUGAUAUUUUUGGGCUGGAAACUAAGCUUGAUUCGACUUACUUGUACAUUCAAAUGGAAUACUGCCCCAGGACACUGCGCCAAAUGUUCGAAUCGUAUAAUCAAUUUGAUAAGGAGCUUGCCUGGCAUCUGUUUCGCCAAAUUGUUGAAGGCCUGGCACACAUACAUGGCCAAGGAAUAAUUCAUCGUGACUUGACUCCUAAUAACAUCUUUUUUGAUGCUCGCAAUGACAUUAAAAUUGGAGAUUUUGGUCUUGCCAAGUUCUUGAAGUUGGAGCAAGUGGAGCAGGAUGUUGAUGCCACAGAAACAGUUGGAGUUUCAGUUGAUGGUACUGGCCAAGUUGGCACAUAUUUCUACACUGCACCUGAAAUAGAGCAAGGGUGGCCAAAGAUAAAUGAGAAGGCUGACAUGUAUAGUCUAGGAGUUGUAUUUUUCGAGCUCUGGCGCCCUUUUGACACAGCAAUGGAAAGGCACAUUGUCCUUUCUGAUUUGAAACAGAAGGGAGAGCUUCCUUCUGCUUGGCUAGCUGAUUUCCCAGAACAGGCGUCUUUGUUAAGACUUCUGAUGUCACCAAGUCCAUCUGAACGUCCGUCAGCUACAGAACUUCUUCAACACGCUUUUCCUCCCCGAAUGGAAUAUGAGCUUUUGGAUAAUAUUCUCCGAACAAUUCAUACCUCUGAAGACACUGGUGUGUAUGACAAAAUUGUAAAUGCUAUUUUUGAUGAGGAGCUUUUGAGCACAAAGGAACAUGAGAGUGUUGAGAGAUUGAAAUUGCUUGGAGGUGAUAUCUCAUCUGUCCUAUUUUCGGAUGUUGAUACCAGUAACCGUGAUCAUGUAUUGGAGGUGGCUGCUGGAGUGUUUAGACAACAUUGUGCAAAGCAUCUAGAGGUUAUACCAAUGCACAUAUUGGCUGAUUCUCGACAGCUAAAUAGGAAUACUGUGAAACUUUUGACCAAUGGAGGAGACAUGGUUGAGCUUUGUCAUGAGCUUCGCUUACCUUUUGCCAACUGGAUAAUUGCCAAUCAGAAAUCCUUCUUCAAACGGUAUGAAAUAUCGUAUGUAUAUCGAAGAGCAAUUGGUCAUUCACCGCCAAAUCGGUACCUUCAGGCGGACUUUGACAUUGUUGGAGGUGCGAUAGCAUUGACGGAGGCAGAGAUCAUUAAGGCCUCGAUGGACAUUAUUGGUCAGUUUUUUCAUUCAGAAUUAUGUGAUAUUCAUUUGAACCAUGGAGAUCUAUUAGAAGCAAUUUGGUCUUGGGCCGGAAUCGAGCCGGAGCAUAGACAGAAAGUGGCUGAGCUUCUCUCUCUAUUAGGAUCUUUGCGCCCUCAAUCUUCUGAAAGAAAGUCUAAAUGGGUGGUGAUAAGACGACAGCUUCAACAGGAACUUAAUCUUGCUGAAGCUGUUGUAAAUAGAUUGCAGACUGUUGGACUUAGAUUCUGUGGACUUGUAGAUCAGGCUCUUCCCAGGUUAAGAGGCGCCCUUCCUGCUGGUAAGUCCACAAGGAAGGCCCUCGAUGAGUUGUCAGAGCUUUAUAACUAUUUAAGGGUUUGGAGGCUUGAUAGACAUAUCUUUGUGGAUGCACUUAUGCCUCCAACUGAGAAUUAUCACAGAAAUAUUUUUUUUCAGAUAUAUAUGAGGAAGAGUCUUGGAUCUUUAGUGGAAGGAACCUUGCUUGCUGUUGGUGGUCGUUAUGAUUACUUGCUUCAUCAUACAGGCGAUUUUGAAUAUAAAUCAAAUCCUCCAGGUGCAGUUGGGACUAGUCUUGCUUUGGAGACAAUUUUGUCGCAUAGUACUAUGAUGGAUACGAAAAUUUAUAGGCAUGAUGUUGGUAUCGAGGUUCUUGUUUGCUCAAGAGGAGGAGGUGGUUUACUAGUAGAGCGCAUGGAACUAGUGGCUGAGCUAUGGCAGCAGAAUAUCAAGACUCAGUUCGUCCCCAUAUGUGAUCCAAGCCUCACAGAACAGUAUGAAUAUGCCAACGAGCAUGAUAUCAAAUGUCUUGUGAUCAUCACUGACAGUGGUGUAUCCCAAACAGAUUCAGUUAAGGUUCGGCAUCUUGAGCUGAAGAAGGAGAAGGAAGUUCCGAGAGAAGAACUUGUCAAGUUUCUCUCUGAGGCAAUGGCAACUCAAUUUAAAAACCCAUCCAUCUGGAACUAGAACAGAUUACUUGAACUCAUUGCUACCAGGUUUUUAAAGCCACUUCAUAUUGUUCGUAGUUCUUUCGUACAAAAAAGUUUGCAAGAUGUUUGCCAUUAUUUUAGAAACCUAAGUUCCUGCAGCAUAACAUUUCAAGCCAUGUGUUUGUUACUCCAUGUUGUUGCUGGGAAAGCUGUCUAUCAUAGGUUAAAAUAAGGGCAUGGAAAAGAGAGAAAAAGAAAAUAAAAAGAAAGAAGAAAUGGCCUUUCUGACAUGUUAGUUUACGUUUGAACAUCUAGUGAUUUCCCAAAUCCUAUUGGAGCUUUUGCUUGCUUUUUUACAAACUUUAAAGCGUUUCAGUUUCAAUAUCGUCACAUAACCUUUUUUUUUUGCACAAUAGAACUGAGAAUAGGAGCACACCUUCAUUAAUGCAUAUGAAUGAAAAAUUCAAUUGAACAGUCUUUCUGAAAGGAAUCGUAUUUAUUCUAUACUGUAAUAGUAUUGAUGGCUUACAGAGUUUAUCAAAAAGUAGAUGCCUUGAACAAUUCCACUGAGAGAUACUGCAUAGUUCAUGUACCAAUACAUUUGUAUAUAUCUUCUUUCUUAAUAUUCCUUUUUUUCCCCUGUUUAUACACAUCAAAAACCGCUUAAUAAACCAGUAGAAGAUAGAACUCUUAGAAAAUUUCAUUCAGACCCAAGAAUUCCAAUUGGACCGUUUAAUGCGGAAGGAUGGGAAUAAUUUACUGAUAUUUAAUAUGGACUGUUCCAUUCUCAUCUCAUUUGCUGUUUUAGAAGUCAAUGCAUUGUAUUUUUAAGUUUUAACUCUAAUUAGAGCUGCAUUUCAGUCAAAAUGGACAAGUCGAUAGAACAUCUUCUAGCAGAUUGGGAAUCUAUCAUUGUACGUCAGGUUAACUGGGUAUGUUUAUUUCCACCAGGAUGAGGUGAAAGAUUCACACAUGUAGUAGAUGGAGUUCCUACAUCAUGCUGAGAGGGGGGACAAGUGAUGAAUUAAAAGAGUUUCAGAUGCCAAAUAUUUUUAUGUUGCACGUUCGAUGAUAACUUUAAUCAUACUUUGACAUGUCCCAUGGUCAGAAGUUUCCAUCAAAGGAUUUAGGUGUUUUUUUCGGAAAUUUGAUUUUGUGAUUGUGGACUAGCCUAAUCCCUCCGCUUUUAUGUGCAGACUUGUAUAUCUGUUUCUUCUCCAUGGAAACAUCAUUAUUGUUUGUUUGAGGAAAGAUAAACAGACAUUGCUAACAUUAUUAACAAAAAAUUUUAAUUAAUGUACAAAAAGGUAGAUCUCCUUGAGUACGAAAUUCACCUCUUUUUUUGUCUGUUUUGUUACAGAGUACUGUUUCAUAUACAGAACAGUAGAAGGUUAAAGUCAUCAGAGAAGGUAAAGAAAAUCACAAAACAAUUUUCUGCCCUCAGUUUUGCUCAUAUAAAGAAUAUUUAGUUUCUUUAGCUGUACAGUAUUGUUCAAGGCUUUUAGACGAUAGUUUCGCUUAAUGAAAAUGAAGAGACCGGCAAAGUUUUUGUUCGCAAGAGAGAGAGAGGCAUGUUUCCUUGUAUAUCAAAUUUUGUUUCUUAUCUUCUUCAAGUUCAAACUGCAUAAGCCAUUUGGAUUGUAAUUCUAAAACAUACUGUCAUUUUGCUGUUUCCUAAUGUGUAUGUCUAAUCAGUCAUCGA